AGAGUUUGAUCCUGGCUCAGGACGAACGCUGGCGGCGUGCUUAACACAUGCAAGUCGAGCGAUGAAGCUCCUUCGGGAGUGGAUUAGCGGCGGACGGGUGAGUAACACGUGGGUAACCUGCCUCAUAGAGGGGAAUAGCCUUUCGAAAGGAAGAUUAAUACCGCAUAAGAUUGUAGUACCGCAUGGUACAGCAAUUAAAGGAGUAAUCCGCUAUGAGAUGGACCCGCGUCGCAUUAGCUAGUUGGUGAGGUAAAGGCUCACCAAGGCGACGAUGCGUAGCCGACCUGAGAGGGUGAUCGGCCACAUUGGGACUGAGACACGGCCCAGACUCCUACGGGAGGCAGCAGUGGGGAAUAUUGCACAAUGGGGGAAACCCUGAAUGCAGCAACGCCGCGUGAGUGAUGACGGCCUUCGGGUUGUAAAACUCUGUCUUUGGGGACGAUAAUGACGGUACCCAAGGAGGAAGCCACGGCUAACUACGUGCCAGCCGCCGC
rnacentral:rRNA from 1 species